AUUGAACGCUGGCGGCAUGCCUUACACAUGCAAGUCGAACGGCAGCACGGGAGCAAUCCUGGUGGCGAGUGGCGAACGGGUGAGUAAUAUAUCGGAACGUGCCCGGUCGUGGGGAUAACGUAGCGAAAGCUACGCUAAUACCGCAUACGAUCUACGGAUGAAAGCGGGGGAUCGCAAGACCUCGCGCGAUUGGAGCGGCCGAUAUCAGAUUAGGUAGUUGGUGAGGUAAAGGCUCACCAAGCCGACGAUCUGUAGCUGGUCUGAGAGGACGACCAGCCACACUGGGACUGAGACACGGCCCAGACUCCUACGGGAGGCAGCAGUGGGGAAUUUUGGACAAUGGGCGCAAGCCUGAUCCAGCAAUGCCGCGUGCAGGAUGAAGGCCUUCGGUUGUAAACUGCUUUGUACGGUAACGAAACGGUGAGCUCUAAUACAGUUGCUAAUGACGGUACCGUAAGAAUAAG
rnacentral:rRNA from 1 species